GCGGGUGUGGCGGAAUGGUAGACGCGACGGAUUCAAAAUCCGUUUCCAGAAAUGGAGUGCCGGUUCAAGUCCGGCCACCCGUACCA
rnacentral:tRNA from 1 species